AGGACGAACGCUGGCGGCGUGCUUAACACAUGCAAGUCGAGCGGAAAGGCCCUUCGGGGUACUCGAGCGGCGAACGGGUGAGUAACACGUGAGCAACCUGCCCCUGGCUCUGGGAUAGCCUCCGGAAACGGGGAUUAAUACCGGAUAUUCACUGCUUCCUGCAUGGGGGGUGGUGGAAAGUUUUUCGGCUAGGGCGGGGCUCGCGGCCUAUCAGCUUGUUGGGGGGGUGACGGCCCACCAAGGCGACGACGGGUAG
rnacentral:rRNA from 1 species